GACGAACGCUGGCGGCGUGCUUAACACAUGCAAGUCGAACGGAAAGGCCCUGCUCUUGCGGGGUGCUCGAGUGGCGAACGGGUGUGUAACACGUGAGUAACCUGCCCUUGACUUUGGGAUAACUCCAGGAAACAGGGGCUAAUACCGGAUAGGAGCUCCUGCUGCAUGGGGGGGGUUGGAAAGUUUCGGCGGUUGGGGAUGGACUCGCGGCUUAUCAGCUUGUUGGUGGGGUAGUGGCUUACCAAGGCUUUGACGGGUAGCCGGCCUGAGAGGGUGACCGGCCACAAUAGGACUGAGGGAGGGCGCAGUCGGCUACGGGAGGCAGCAGGGGGGAAUAUUGCACAAUGAGCGGAAGCCUGAUGCAACAGCGCCGGGUGCGGGAUGACGGCCUUCGGGGUAAGAACCGCUUUCGCCUGUGACGAAGCGUGAGUGACGGUAAUGGGUAAAGAAGCACCGGCUAACUACGUG
rnacentral:rRNA from 1 species